rnacentral:rRNA from 1 species
AGAACGAACGCUGGCGGCAGGCUUAACACAUGCAAGUCGAACGGUUGUAGCAAUACAGCAGUGGCAGACGGGUGAGUAACACGUGGGAACCUUCCUAGGGGUACGGAACAACUCAGGGAAACUUGAGCUAAAUACCGUAUACGUCCAUGAGGAGAAAGAUUUAUCGCCCUUAGACGGGCCCGCGUAGGAUUAGGUAGUUGGUGGGGUAAUGGCCUACCAAGCCUACGAUCCUUAGCUGAUCUGAGAGGAUGAUCAGCCACACUGGGACUGAGACACGGCCCAGACUCCUACGGGAGGCAGCAGUGGGGAAUCUUGGACAAUGGGCGCAAGCCUGAUCCAGCCAUGCCGCGUGAGUGAAGAAGGCCUUCGGGUUGUAAAGCUCUUUUACCAGGGACGAUAAUGACGGUACCUGGAGAAUAAGCCCGGCAAACUUCGUGCCAGCAGCCGC